GACGGAGGAUGCAAGUGUUAUCCGGAAUCACUGGGCGUAAAGCGUCUGUAGGUGGUUUAAUAAGUCAACUGUUAAAUCUUGAGGCUCAACCUCAAAAUCGCAGUCGAAACUAUUAGGCUAGAGUAUAGUAGGGGUAAAGGGAAUUUCCAGUGGAGCGGUGAAAUUCGUAGAUAUCGGGAGGAACACCAGUGGCGAAGGCGGCGACCUGGACGGAGCGC
rnacentral:rRNA from 1 species